UACGGAGGGUGCAAGCGUUAUCCGGAUUUAUUGGGUUUAAAGGGUCCGUAGGCGGACCUGUAAGUCAGUGGUGAAAUCUCAUAGCUUAACUAUGAAACUGCCAUUGAUACUGCAGGUCUUGAGUAAAUUAGAGGUAGCUGGAAUAAGUAGUGUAGCGGUGAAAUGCAUAGAUAUUACUUAGAACACCAAUUGCGAAGGCAGGUUACCAUGAUUCAACUGACGCUGAGGGACGAAAGCGUGGGGAGCGAACAGG
rnacentral:rRNA from 1 species